rnacentral:rRNA from 1 species
AGUGAACGCUGGCGGUAGGCCUAACACAUGCAAGUCGAACGGCAGCACAGUAAGAGCUUGCUCUUACGGGUGGCGAGUGGCGGACGGGUGAGGAAUACAUCGGAAUCUACUUUUUCGUGGGGGAUAACGUAGGGAAACUUACGCUAAUACCUCAUACUACCUACGGGUUAAAGCAGGGGAUCUUCGCACCUUGCGCGUUUGAAUGAGCCGAUGUCGGAUUAGCUAGUUGGCGGGGUAAGGGCCCACCAGGGCGACGAUGCGUAGCUGGUCUGAGAGGAUGAUCAGCCACACUGGAACUGAGACACGGUCCAGACUCCUACGGGAGGCAGCAGUGGGGAAUAUUGGACAAUGGGCGCAAGCCUGAUCCAGCCAUACCGCGUGAGUGAAGAAGGCCUUCGGGUUGUAAAGCCCUUUUGUUGGGAAAGAAAAGCAGCAGGAUAAUACCCCGCUGUUCUGACGGUACCCAAAGAAUAAGCACCGGCUAACUUCGUG